AUUUUUUUUUCCUACUGUACAGCAUGGUGACCCAGUUACACAUACAUGUACACAUACUGUUUUUGCACAUUAUCAUGCUCCAUCAUAAGUGACUAGACAGAGUUCCCAGUGCUACACAGCAGGAUCUCAUUGCUAAUCCAUUUCACAGGCAAUAGUUUGUAUCUAUUAACCACAAGCUCCCCAACUACCACACUCCCUCCCCCUCCCCCUUGGCAACCACAUGUCUAUUCUGCAAGUCCAUGAUUUUCUUUUCUGUGGAAAGGUUCAUUUGUGCCACAUAUUAGAUUGCAGAUAUAAAUGAUAUCAUAUGGUAUUUGUCUUUCUCUUUCUGAUGUACUUCACUCAGUAUGAGAGUCUCUCCUUCCAUCCAUGUUGCUGCAAAUGGCAUUAUUUUGUUCUUUUUUAUGGCUGAGUAAUAUUCCAUUGUGUAUAUAUACCACAUCUUCCUAAUCCAAUUGUCUAUCGAUGGACAUUUGGGUUGUUUCCAUGUCUUGGCUGUUGUGAAUAGAGUUGCAAUGAGCAUGCAGGUGCAUGUGUGUUUUUUAAGGAAAGCUUUGUCCGGAUAUAUGCCCAAGAGUGGGAUUGCUGGGUCAUAUGGUAGUUCUAUGUAUAGACUUCUAAGUACCUCCAUACUGUUCUCCAUAGUGGUUAUACCAGCUUACAUUCCCACCAACAGUGCAGGAGGGUUCCCUUUUCUCCACACCCCCUCUGGCAUUUGUUAUUUGUGGAUUUAUUAAUGAUGGCCAUUCUGACUGGUGUGAGGUGGUAUCUCGUGGUAGAUUUGAUUUGCAUUUCUCUAAUAAUCAGGGAUGUUGAGCAUUUUUUUCAUGUGCUCAUAGGCCAUCUGUACAUCUUCCUUGGAAAAAUGUCUAUUCAGAUCUUUGCCCACUUUUCAAUUGGUUGUUGGCUUUUUUGCUGUUGAGUUGUAUAAGUUGCUUAUAUAUUCUAGAGAUUAAGCCCUUGUCUGUUGCAUCUUUUGAAACUAUUUUCUCCCAUUCCAUAAGUUGUCUUUUUGUUUUCUUUUUGGUUUCCUUUGCUGUGCAAAAGCUUGUCAGUUUGAUUAGGUCCCAUUGGUAUUAUGGGGAAAAAUCAUUAAAAAAAGAGUAUGGGACUUAUCCUCUUUUUUUAAUGAUUUUUUUUCCCCAUUAUAAGUGGUUGCAGUCUACAUUCUCAAAACGUAGCUUCUGAUUUUUCUUGGCAUCAUUAGGCUUGGAGCUAUCAACUCAAUUGCAUUAAAUAAAUGUUUGUUGAAUAAAAGAUCAGAAAUUCUCAUCCUUGUACCCAAAGAAGAGGUUGUGAUGGCUCUGGUCUUAUGCUGGAAGUGAGUGAACAUAGUCCACGUCCUAGGUCACUUGACCUCUUAGUACAUGGAUUUAUUUACUUCUCUGAACAAAGCAGUCUCUGUUGUAAUUAGACUUGAUAACAAACAGAUCCAAAUACAAAUAAUAGAAACACCAGAAUUCUAAGUGGAAUAUAGCCUCACAUGCCCAAGAGCCCAUUCUUUUUACAUUCUCAAAUAGAGAAGAGUGGUUCUCUUCCCAUAUCAUCAAGUUUAUUACUAAGUUUGUGAGGAAUGUAAUCAUGUGAGGAAUGAUCUUUCAGGCACCUGCCUUGGGCCCUGUCAUAAAUGCUGGAGAGCUCACUGUAGUGCAUGCAAUUUAGCAGCUUUUGAUAAUGUUAUAUUAUAUGGUAUUCAUUAUUCUUCCAGUGGUAUUGGUGACACUUCAGGGAAGAGAUUAAGAUAAAACAAAAAAUAAAGCAAAGAGAAAACAAGUGAGCUUACCUAUCUGGUGUUUGACAACUUGGCUGGGGCCACAGAUGACAUCUAAAGUUGGGUAGCAAAAAUCUAGGGGGAAAAGCCCAUAUGAAUCUAUCUAAGAAGGAUCUGGAACCCUGACCUAAAGCCAUAGCAUAGAAAAGGAGAGAACUUGGGAUAGAACGUGAUGGAAGAUAAUACAAGAAAGGGUAUAUAUAUAUAUAUACACACACACACACACACACACAUAUAUGUAUAUAUAACUGGAUCACUUUGCUGUACAGCAGAAAUUGACACAUUAUAAGUCAACUAUACUUUAAUAAAAAUAAAGCCAAAUAAAAAAGAAAAGGAGGAAAGAACAAUACAAUAAUUUUCAAGACAGAAGCUGAUGCAAAAGUGCUCCACAGAGCAUGAACAAGGUUCAGUCUUUCCAUAUUAAACUGGAAUAAUUUGUCAGAAACUCAAAGUCAUAGGCUUUAAAAUGUCCUUAGUAACUUUUUAUUGUAUAUGGACAUUAAUAAGCAAAAAUGUGCCCUACUGACAAACUUCAAAAUUUCAAUUAUUGCCCAAGUGUUUGUUAAUUAGUUGUCUAUCUUCUUUUGUAAAUUGAAAAUUUGACAUUUCCCUGUAUGGGCUUAGUGUUUUUUAGUGUUUGAACAAAUUCUUCAAAGUGGUUACAUCUUUACUCAAAAUUUUCCAUUUGAGAAAAUUAAAUAUGUAUCAAAAGAACUAAUUUUUAAAAUAACAAUUGAGUACCUACCCAUGUGCUGGGGCACUAUUCUAGGCAGUUGGAAUAUAUCAGAAAAUGAAACAGAACAAAUCCCUGUGCUUGCGAAACUUAUAUUCCAGUGUAAUGUGUGUGUGUUUGUGUGUGUGUGCAUGUGCGUGUGAAGGGAGGUAGAUAGCAAAUAAAUAAGAAAUAAAGAACAUAUAUAUGAUGUGUAUGCUGUG
rnacentral:lncRNA from 1 species